UAAAAAAUUUUACUGGUCGUAUUUUAAUCAGAAUUUUGACCCAACAAAUCCGUGCUCUUUUCAUCUCCAUUGCCCCUGCUCCCGAUGUUUCGUCUCUCCUCCUACCCCUAAUUUUAGUAACUAAUUUAAAUUCUAUUAUUUUAUUGUAACUACUUUCAUUUUUUAUGCUGGCAGCCUGGGCAUGUCCCAGGUUGACCACCAGUACUAAACUUCACCAACUUGAAUUACCUGCUUUUUAUCUUGUUCUAUUUAUUCUGUCAGUGCUGGAAAGUUAUUUAAUAAUAAUAAUAAUAAAAUGGCGACCACUUGUGCACCACAUGGUCCAUCAAGAAUGAGAUGUUUUAGCAGGAAGGAAGGCAUGAGACGAGAUAUAACUAAAAGGACACGAAAAGAUGAGUGAGGCUAACCUUCUUAACUAUUUUUAGCCAUAUACACUUGUGAAAAUUAAGAGAAGAACAAUAUAAAAUAUCAGCCUAGGAUUUGUAUAUGUACCAUGAAAAGAACAAUAGUUUUAUACUGUGGAACUGUAUUAUUACACGUAAACAUGAGGAAAAACAACAAUGGAUCACAGGAGCGAUGGGCUGACUUAAUCAACAUUCAGAGAUGAAAUGCAAGACUUUUGCUGCAGAAGAAUGGCUGACAUUGUUUAAAGGAACCAUUUUGCACACCUGAAUUUCUUGCUAAUAUUAGUAGUGAGUCCAGUGAUGAGUCCAAUAGUAUUGAAGCCUCUAGCGAAGGUGUCACUUCAAUCUCUGCCUCUCCAAAUGAUGCUGUGGUUGCUAAUGACAAUUAUGAAUUCACCUGACUAAUAAUUAUUACUCUUAUUUACUGUAAUUUUAAAAUAAUAAAAGUUUAUAAUAAAAUUUGUCUCAUAAUUAUAUUCAUUGUGGGUAAGCUAUUAUAAACAAACACUUAUGUGACAAUUAACAGCCA